AAUCACAUUCUGGAUAUUGCUGCUAGAAAUAAAAUCUAAUUACUCUUAAGGAUUUGGAUAAUAUGUGGAAAGGUGAGGGUACAGGACUAAGAUCAGAGGUACAUUUUAACCAGUUACUUAUUUAUUACUUGGUAAAAAUAGUAACUUUUAAAAACUUAAGAGUCAAGGAUGAUUUUUGGUUAUAAUUAGUUGUUGCGUGUUCUCUUGAAUUUAUAUUUGGUUUUUAAGUUCCUUGGUAGUAUUUUCAUAAGUUUUAGUAAGGUCAUGUUAGGUCAAACACUCUUUAAAACAUUGUAAAAUAGAAUGUUAUAGGUCAGAAUAUAGUAGUUGGACUUACUGUCUAUGACUGUACUUUCAGGGCCCCUAAAAUUCAAAGGAACAUAACAUAUCGUCCAUAGCUCCAUAUCUAAUAAUUCUGAUUUAGUUGUCUAGCUGGAUAAUUAGCAGAUCAUUAUGAGGCUUCUUCAAUUACUUUUUGCUCUUCGGCAAGUGGAUUUAGGUCUACCUAAGCGCUAAAUGUGUGGUGGAUGCUUUUGGCUUAUAUA
rnacentral:lncRNA from 1 species